rnacentral:rRNA from 1 species
UAGGAAAAUUUUAAAAGUAAAUUCUGCCCUAUGAUUAUUUAAAUGGCUGCAGUAUUCUGACUGUGCAAAGGUAGCAUAAUAAUUAGUCUUUUAAUUGAAGGCUGGUAUGAAUGAAUAGAUGAGGGAUUAAUUUUAUUUUUUUUAAUUUUAUAAUUUGAUUUUUAGGUAAAAAAGCCUAAUUUUUUUUUUGGGACGAUAAGACCCUAUAGAACUUUAAUUUUAAUAAGUUUUAUGUAUUUUUUAGUAAAUUUAUCUUUUAAUUUUAUUAAUUUUUUUUCUGGGGCGGAAGAUAAAUUUGACUUUAUUUUUUUAAUUCAUUUAAUUUAUGUAAUUUAGAUCCAAUAAUGAUUUUAAGAUUAAGUUACCUUAGGGAUAACAGCGUUAUUUUAAUGAGGAGUUCUUAUCUAUAUUAAAGUUUGCGACCUCGAUGUUGAAUUAAGAUUAGAUUGAGGGGCAG